CGGAGAGGGAGCAUGAGAAACGGCUACCACUUCUAAGGAAGGCAGCAGGCGCGCAAAUUACCCAAUCCUGACUCAGGGAGGUAGUGACAAGAAAUAACAAUAAACCGGCUUAUGCCGGUUUAAUUGGAAUGAGUACAAUUUAAACAUCUUAACGAGGAACGAUUGGAGGGCAAGUCUGGUGCCAGCAGCCGCGGUAAUUCCAGCUCCAAUAGCGUAUACUAAAGUUGUUGCAGUUAAAAAGCUCGUAGUUGGAUUUCUCUGGGGACAGAGCGGCCGGUCGCAACUCGCGAUUCGAGCUAGCGCUUUCCCUACAUCCUGCCGCGAACCGUGCUACCAUUAGUUUGGUGGCGCCGGGGAUCGGCUCGUUUACUUCGAGAAAAGUAGAGUGUUCAAAGCAGGCCACACGCCUUGAAUAAGUUAGCAUGGAAUAAUAAUAAAGGACUUCGGUUCUAUUUUGUUGGUAUUCGGGACUGUAGUAAUGAUUGAUAGGGACAGUUGGGGCGGUCAGUAUUCCAAAGCGAGAGGUGAAAUUCUUAGACCUUCGGAAGACUAACAGCUGCGAAAGCGUUCCGCAAGGAUGUUCCCUUUGAUCAAGAACGAAAGUUGGGGGAUCGAAGACGAUCAGAUACCGUCGUAGUCUCAACUAUAAACUAUACCAGCUAGGGAUCGGCCAACGUUAAAUUAUUCGACUUGGUCGGCACCUUAUGAGAAAUCAAAGCAUCUGGGUUCCGGGGGGAGUAUGGUCGCAAGGCUGAAACUUAAAGGAAUUGACGGAAGGGCACCACCAGCCGUGGAGCCUGUGGCUUAAUUUGACUCAACACGGGAAAACUUACCAGGUCCAGACAUAGUAAGGAUUGACAGAUUGAUAGCUCUUUCUUGAUUCUGUGGGUGGUGGUGCAUGGCCGUUCUUAGUUGGUGGAGUGAUUUGUCUGGUUAAUUCCGUUAACGAACGAGACCCCAGCCUGCUAAAUAGCGCGGUUGAGCUUUGCUCGGCGCGAGCUUCUUAGAGGGACUAUGUUGCGCGAUAGCACAUGGAAGUUUGGGGCAAUAACAGGUCUGUGAUGCCCUUAGAUGUUCUGGGCCGCACACGGGCUACACUGGCGCCUGCAACGAGCAUAUCAGCUGGCCCGAGAGGGUCUUGGCUAAUCUUUUGAACCGGCGCCGUGCUUGGGAUUGACCAUUGCAAUUGUUGGUCAUGCAACGAGGAAUGCCUUGUAAACGCGAGUCAUCAACUCGCAUUGAAUACGUCCCUGCCCUUUGUACACACCGCCCGUCGCUCCUACCGAUGAAUGUUCCGAUGAAAUUUUCGGAGAGCGCUUGUGAAGUUGGUUAUGCCUUCCGAACGAGAGGCUCAAAGUCACUUAAAUCUGAACAUUUCGAGGAAGGAGAAGUCGUAACAAGGUAACC
rnacentral:rRNA from 1 species